AUUGAACGCUGGCGGCAUGCCUUACACAUGCAAGUCGAACGGCAGCACGGGAGCAAUCCUGGUGGCGAGUGGCGAACGGGUGAGUAAUAUAUCGGAACGUGCCCGGUCGUGGGGAUAACGUAGCGAAAGCUACGCUAAUACCGCAUACGAUCUACGGAUGAAAGCGGGGGAUCGCAAGACCUCGCGCGAUUGGAGCGGCCGAUAUCAGAUUAGGUAGUUGGUGAGGUAAAGGCUCACCAAGCCGACGAUCUGUAGCUGGUCUGAGAGGACGACCAGCCACACUGGGACUGAGACACGGCCCAGACUCCUACGGGAGGCAGCAGUGAGGAAUAUUGGACAAUGGGCGCAAGCCUGAUCCAGCCAUGCCGCGUGCAGGAUGACGGUCCUAUGGAUUGUAAACUGCUUUUAUACAGGAAGAAACACUCCGACGUGUCGGAGCUUGACGGUACUGUAAGAAUAA
rnacentral:rRNA from 1 species